rnacentral:rRNA from 1 species
UACGGGGGGAGCAAGCGUUGUUCGGAUUUACUGGGCGUAAAGGGCGCGUAGGCGGUCGUGACAAGUCACUUGUGAAAUCUCCGGGCUUAACUCGGAACGGUCAAGUGAUACUGUCGGACUAGAGUACAGAAGGGGCAACUGGAAUUCUCGGUGUAGCGGUGAAAUGCGUAGAUAUCAGGAGGAACACCGGUGGCGAAGGCGGAUCUCUGGGCCGUAACUGACGCUGAGGAGCGAAAGCAUGGGGAGCGAACAGG